rnacentral:rRNA from 1 species
AAAGAAAAUAACAAUGAUUCCCCUAGUAACUGCGAGUGAAGAGGGACAAGCUCAAAUUUUAAAUCUGUUAGGUUUACCUAACCGAGUUGUAAUUUGAAGAGGCGUUUUCUGCGCAGUUUGGUCAGCUCAAGUCCUAUUGAAUGAGGCAUCAUGGAGGGUGAUAAUCCCGUCCGGCUGAUCAUCGCGUUUUACGAUACGCUUUCUAAGAGUCAAGUUGUUUGGGAUUGCAGCUUAAAAUGGGAGGUAAAUUUCUCCUAAGGCUAAAUAUUGGCGAGAGACCGAUAGCGAACAAGUACCGUGAGGGAAAGAUGAAAGGAACUUUGAAAAGGGAGUCAAAUAGUACGUGAAAUUGUUGAAAGGGAAACGAUUGAAGUCAGUCGUACCGGCGGAUAAUCAGCCUUUCGAGUAUGAUUCUGUGGAGUGUGAGGAGUUUAACCGCCUUCAUACCUGCAUAUUUGUGCGCUUUGGGUGUACUUGUCCGUAUGGUAGGUUAACAUCAAUUUCGGAUGUCAUGAAAUGGCUGGAGGAAUGUAGCUUCGGUCUCGUACUGAAGUGUUAUAGCCUUUGGUAGAUGUGAUGACCGGGAUUGAGGAUUGCAACGAAUACCUUUUGGGCUAUCCGUCUGAUCUCUGAAAGUUGCUCUGGUGCCGAAAGCUUGCUUACGGUUAUCAAAGUUGACGUUCAAAAGGUUAGAACGGGUUAAAUUCGUUAAGGAUGUUG